GUGUCAGCCGCCGCGGUAAUACAGAGGGUGCAAGCGUUGUUCGGAAUUACUGGGCGUAAAGCGUGCGUAGUCGGUAUUGAGAGUCGCGGGUGAAAUCCCAGGGCUUAACCCUGGAACUGCCUGCGAGACCUCAGUACUAGAGUGUGAGAGGGGAUAGUGGAAUACCAAGUGUAGCGGUGAAAUGCGUAGAGAUUUGGUGGAACACCGGUGGCGAAGGCGGCUAUCUGGCUCACAACUGACGAUCAGGCACGAAAGCGUGGGGAGCAAACAGGAUUAGAUACCCUGGUAGUCCACGCCGUAAACUAUGCAUACAAGCUGUAGUGGAAUUUUACUUCUGCUGUGGCGAAGCUAACGCAAUUAGUAUGCCGCCUGGGGAGUACGGUCGCAAGACUAAAACUCAAAGGAAUUGACGG
rnacentral:rRNA from 1 species